UACGUAGGUGGCAAGCGUUGUUCGGAAUUAUUGGGCCUAAAGCAUCCGUAGCCGGUUCUGCAAGUCCCCCGUUAAAUCCAGCUGCUCAACAGAUGGGCCGCGGAGGAUACUACAGAGCUAGGAGGCAGGAGAGGCAAGCGGUACUCAGUGGGUAGGGGUAAAAUCCGUUGAUCCGUUGAAGACCACCAGUGGCGAAGGCGGCUUGCCAGAAUGCGCUCGACGGUGAGGGAUGAAAGCUGGGUGAGCAAACCGG
rnacentral:rRNA from 1 species